AUGCAGUCGAACGCCCCGCAGGGGAGUGGCAGACGGGUGAGUAACGCGUGGGAAUCUACCGUGCCCUGCGGAAUAGCUCCGGGAAACUGGAAUUAAUACCGCAUACGCCCUACGGGGGAAAGAUUUAUCGGGGUAUGAUGAGCCCGCGUUGGAUUAGCUAGUUGGUGGGGUAAAGGCCUACCAAGGCGACGAUCCAUAGCUGGUCUGAGAGGAUGAUCAGCCACAUUGGGACUGAGACACGGCCCAAACUCCUACGGGAGGCAGCAGUGGGGAAUAUUGGACAAUGGGCGCAAGCCUGAUCCAGCCAUGCCGCGUGAGUGAUGAAGGCCUUAGGGUUGUAAAGCUCUUUCACCGGUGAAGAUAAUGACGGUAACCGGAGAAGAAGCCCCGGCUAACUUCGUGCCAGCAGCCGCGGUAAUACGAAGGGGGCUAGCGUUGUUCGGAAUUACUGGGCGUAAAGCGCACGUAGGCGGAUAUUUAAGUCAGGGGUGAAAUCCCAGAGCUCAACUCUGGAACUGCCUUUGAUACUGGGUAUCUUGAGUAUGGAAGAGGUAAGUGGAA
rnacentral:rRNA from 1 species